UUAUUCAAGAUCAUACUAUUCAAUGGUAAUUUAUAAUUUACAUUUGCGAGAUGGCAACGAAGGUCACAUCUCAAGCGCAUGUGUAGUGUAUCUCAACCACUUACGAAACAGAGAGCCUUUGUGGAGAUGCAAUAUCCAAACAUGCAAUCGAAGAAGGAUGGCUUCGCCAUAAGCGUCGUUUUAUACCUUCAAAAAAUGUGAUCACUGUGAUGAUUAUCUUGUAAAACCCUCGUGUGGGCAUGUAUCGUCUCA